UUGCUGCUGUGUCUCCUCUUUUAUUCAGUGGAUUCUUGUUCAACAGUAUCUAGAUCAGGUGUAUCACUAACUGGAGUAUGUCCUAAUGAUACUUUUACUGUACCCAUUGGAACAACACUGUCUUAUGAGUGCUCUUACAGCUUUUCUACAGGAUAUUAUCCGUUUUGGAAUGUUAGUGGAACCGAACUGAGUGGUGGUAAUUUCAAACCACCUGGAAUAAGUGACUCUAUGUUCAACAAUGGAAAAGCUACUAUAACUGUUUUAACUGAUGAAACUAUCCCAAUGUACAUACAAUGUGGAUUAAGAGGAACAGGACCAAAUAUUAAUAUGGGUCUAACCUCUCGAGUGAGGUUUAUUGAGACAGAAGUAGUUACCUUUGGUCCUCCUUCUUCAUUAUUCCAUGAAUUAAGAGAGAAUGAUACUGUUAAGUUGUCAUGGUUACCUCCUCUAGAAGCGCCUGUACCAUUAUUCACAUAUAAUAUAAUAAUAAUGGAGUCAACUAAUAAUUCACUGACAGUAACUGAUAUAACCAUUACUAACAAUACAUAUGUAAUAAUAUCACCUGCUAAUAUAACUAAUUAUACUGAAUGUACUU